GGGGAUAUAGCUCAGUUGGUAGAGCGCUUCCUUAGCGUGGGUAAAUUCCUACUGUCUGGAUGAGGUCCCGGGUUCAAUUCCCUGUGUCUCCA